AGUUUACUAAUAUGUUUACUACUGCUGUUGGAUUUUUUUUUUAUUUUGUUUGCUACUGUUCAUCUAUUUUGUGCUUACUUGGUUCUUUUUGGAUUGAUAUCUCCUCUUUUCUUUUUGAUUGAUGACAAAAAGGUAGAGAAUUGAUGUGCUUAUGUUUUAGAUAUGUGUGUGCAAACUAUUUUGAGAUAUUGUUAACAGGUCUUGCAAUGGAUGCGCUUAUGUUUUAGACGCGUGUGUGCAAACUAUUGUGGCUUAUGUGUGCAAAUAAUUUUGUAUGUGACUAUUGUUACAGGUUAAGCUUAACAUUUUGCCUAUUGAAAUUGUGGAUAUCUUGAGAAUAUUUUUUGUUACAUAAAUUCAGAGAGAGCUUUGUAUAGCUAUCAAUACUGUUAAUUUUUUUUAACAUUUGUGCAUACAUUUAGGGUGAGUAAUUCCCACAUACUUACAUGCACGGUUAUACAUACACCUACACACACUUUUAUUUAUUCUUAAUUGGUGAUUCAAUGGAGUUUUAUCAUCAUCAAAAACAGAGAUAUUGUUGACCCCGUGUAGCUCAAA
rnacentral:misc_RNA from 1 species